rnacentral:rRNA from 1 species
CCUACGGAUGGCUGCAGUGGGGAAUAUUGGACAAUGGGGGGAACCCUGAUCCAGCCAUGCCGCGUGUGUGAAGAAGGCCCUCGGGUUGUAAAGCACUUUCAGUGAGGAAGAACGCCUGGUGGUUAAUACCCAUCAGGAAAGACAUCACUCACAGAAGAAGCACCGGCUAACUCCGUGCCAGCAGCCGCGGUAAUACGGAGGGUGCGAGCGUUAAUCGGAAUUACUGGGCGUAAAGCGCGCGUAGGUGGCUUGAUAAGCCGGUUGUGAAAGCCCCGGGCUCAACCUGGGAACGGCAUCCGGAACUGUCAAGCUAGAGUGCAGGAGAGGAAGGUAGAAUUCCCGGUGUAGCGGUGAAAUGCGUAGAGAUCGGGAGGAAUACCAGUGGCGAAGGCGGCCUUCUGGACUGACACUGACACUGAGGUGCGAAAGCGUGGGUAGCAAACAGGAUUAGAUACCCUUGUAGUA